GGAAUCCUGCGGGAAUUCUGCGGGAAUCCUGCGGGAAUUAAUGCUGGGAAUCCUCUGAUCCAGGUGGGAAUUCUGUGGGAAUUCUGGUGGGAAUUCUUUGAUCCAGCUGGGAAUGAAUUCUGCGGGAAUUAAUGCUGGGAAUCCUCUGAUCCAGGUGGGAAUUCUGUGGGAAUGCUGGUGGGAAUUCUUUGAUCCAGCUGGGAAUGAAUUCUGCGGGAAUUAAUGCUGGGAAUCUUCUGCUCCAGCUGGGAAUUCUGGUGGGAAUUCUCUGCUCCAGGUGGGAAUUCCUUGGGAAUUCUCUGGUUUCAGGUGGGAAUUCUCUGAUUCUGCUGGGAUUUAACCGGAAUUCUGGGAAUCCAGGUGGGAAUUCUGCAGGAAUUCUGUGAUCCAGCUGGGAAUUCUCUGCUCCAGGUGGGAAUUCGCUGGGAAUUCAGCGGGAAUUUUGUGGGAAUUCUCUGGUUCCGGGUGCAAUUCUGGGAAUCCUGGUGGGAAUUCCGGGAUUCCAGGCGGGAAUUCUUUUGGGAAUUCUCUGAUCCUGGAGGGAAUUCUGUAAUCCCACUGGG
rnacentral:lncRNA from 1 species